UACGUAGGGUGCGAGCGUUGUCCGGAAUUAUUGGGCGUAAAGAGCUCGUAGGCGGUCUGUUGCGUCGGCUGUGAAAACCCGGGGCUCAACCCCGGGCCUGCAGCCGAUACGGGCAGACUAGAGUUCGGCAGGGGAGACUGGAAUUCCUGGUGUAGCGGUGAAAUGCGCAGAUAUCAGGAGGAACACCGGUGGCGAAGGCGGGUCUCUGGGCCGAUACUGACGCUGAGGAGCGAAAGCGUGGGGAGCGAACAGG
rnacentral:rRNA from 1 species